rnacentral:rRNA from 1 species
UCCUACGGGAGGCAGCAGUAGGGAAUAUUGCCCAAUGGACGAAAGUCUGAGGCAGCAACGCCGCGUGCGCGAUGAAGGCCUUCGGGUUGUAAAGCGCUUUUCUGGGGGAAGAGAAAGGACGGUACCCCAGGAAUAAGUCUCGGCUAACUACGUGCCAGCAGCCGCGGUAAAACGUAGGAGGCAAGCGUUAUCCGGAUUUAUUGGGCGUAAAGCGCGUGUAGGCGGUUUAGUAAGUCGGACGUGAAAGUUCCCGGCUCAACUGGGAGAUGCCGUUCGAGACUGCUAGACUAGAGGGCAGUAGAGGGAGGUGGAAUUCUGGGUGUAGCGGUGAAAUGCGUAGAUAUCCAGAGGAACACCAGUGGCGAAGGCGGCCUCCUGGACUGUCCCUGACGCUCAGACGCGAAAGCUAGGGUAGCAAACGGGAUUAGAUACCCCGGUAGUCCAAGCCG